UACGGAGGAGGCAAGCGUUAUCCGGAAUUAUUGGGCGUAAAGCGUCCGCAGGUGGCACUUCAAGUCUGUCGUCAAAGACUGGGGCUUAACCCUGGAAAGGCGGUGGAAACUGAAGCGCUAGAGUGCGGUAGGGGUAGAGGGAAUUCCCGGUGUAGCGGUGAAAUGCGUAGAUAUCGGGAGGAAUACCAGUGGCGCAAGCGGCGCCCUGGCCGUGACCUGACACUGAGCCACGACGGCGUGGGGAGCAAACGGG
rnacentral:rRNA from 1 species